rnacentral:rRNA from 1 species
UGGGUUAAGUCCCGCAACGAGCGCAACCCUUGUCUUUAGUUGCCAUCAUUAAGUUGGGCACUCUAGAGAGACUGCCAGGGAUAACCUGGAGGAAGGUGGGGAUGACGUCAAAUCAUCAUGCCCCUUAUGCCUAGGGCUACACACGUGCUACAAUGGGUGGUACAGAGGGCAGCCAAGCCGUGAGGUGGAGCAAAUCCCUUAAAGCCAUUCUCAGUUCGGAUUGUAGGCUGAAACUCGCCUACAUGAAGCUGGAGUUACUAGUAAUCGCAGAUCAGAAUGCUGCGGUGAAUGCGUUCCCGGGUCUUGUACACACCGCCCGUCACACCAUGGGAGUUGGAGACACCCGAAGCCGACUAUCUAACCUUUUGGGAGAAGUCGUCGAAGGUGGAAUCAAUAACUGGGGUGAAGUCGUAACAAGGUAGCCGUAUCGGAAGGUGCG